GGGCGGUUGGCGCAGUGGUAGCGCGCUUCCUUGACACGGAAGAGGUCGCUGGUUCGAUCCCAGUACCGCCCACCA
rnacentral:tRNA from 2 species